rfam:Frankia sp. ETN1f ctg00165, whole genome shotgun sequence.
CGGCUUUUUCGCGGCUGAGCUCGACCGCCAGCGCCGGUAGUGCUCGACUAUAUCGAUGAGCGCAAGGAGCGGUUCGGGGUCGAGUCGAUCUGCGCCGUACUCAAGGAUGCCGGUGUUCAGACCGCCCCG